CAAUCAAACCGGGAGAUAGCUGGUUCUCCCCGAAAGCUAUUUAGGUAGCGCCUCGUGAAUUCAUCUCCGGGGGUAGAGCACUGUUUCGGCAAGGGGGUCAUCCCGACUUACCAACCCGAUGCAAACUGCGAAUACCGGAGAAUGUUAUCACGGGAGACACACGGCGGGUGCUAACGUCCGUCGUGAAGAGGGAAACAACCCAGACCGCCAGCUAAGGUCCCAAAGUCAUGGUUAAGUGGGAAACGAUGUGGGAAGGCCCAGACAGCCAGGAUGUUGGCUUAGAAGCAGCCAUCAUUUAAAGAAAGCGUAAUAGCUCACUGGUCGAGUCGGCCUGCGCGGAAGAUGUAACGGGGCUAAACCAUGCACCGAAGCUGCGGCAGCGACGCUGAUGCGUUGUUGGGUAGGGGAGCGUUCUGUAAGCCUGCGAAGGUGUGCUGUGAGGCAUGCUGGAGGUAUCAGAAGUGCGAAUGCUGACAUAAGUAACGAUAAAGCGGGUGAAAAGCCCGCUCGCCGGAAGACCAAGGGUUCCUGUCCAACGUUAAUCGGGGCAGGGUGAGUCGACCCCUAAGGCGAGGCCGAAAGGCGUAGUCGAUGGGAAACAGGUUAAUAUUCCUGUACUUGGUGUUACUGCGAAGGGGGGACGGAGAAGGCUAUGUUGGCCGGGCGACGGUUGUCCCGGUUUAAGCGUGUAGGCUGGUUUUCCAGGCAAAUCCGGAAAAUCAAGGCUGAGGCGUGAUGACGAGGCACUACGGUGCUGAAGCAACAAAUGCCCUGCUUCCAGGAAAAGCCUCUAAGCAUCAGGUAACAUCAAAUCGUACCCCAAACCGACACAGGUGGUCAGGUAGAGAAUACCAAGGCGCUUGAGAGAACUCGGGUGAAGGAACUAGGCAAAAUGGUGCCGUAACUUCGGGAGAAGGCACGCUGAUAUGUAGGUGAAGUCCCUCGCGGAUGGAGCUGAAAUCAGUCGAAGAUACCAGCUGGCUGCAACUGUUUAUUAAAAACACAGCACUGUGCAAACACGAAAGUGGACGUAUACGGUGUGACGCCUGCCCGGUGCCGGAAGGUUAAUUGAUGGGGU
rnacentral:rRNA from 1 species